rnacentral:rRNA from 1 species
GCUUGUCUCAAAGAUUAAGCCAUGCAUGUGCUAGUAUAAGCGAUUCAUACUGUGAAACUGCGAAUGGCUCAUUAUAUCAGUUAUAGUCUACUCGAUAGUACCUUACUACUUGGAUAACCGUAGUAAUUCUAGAGCUAAUACAUGCGUAAAUACCCAACUGCUUGUCGGACGGGUAGCAUUUAUUAGAUUGAAACCAAUGCAGCUUCGGCUGGUAUUGUGUUGAGUCAUAAUAACUGUGCGGAUCGCUUUUUAAGCGAUAAAUCGAUUGAGUUUCUGCCCUAUCAGCUUUGGAUGGUAGGAUAUGGGCCUACCAUGGCGUUAACGGGUAACGGGGAAUUAGGGUUUGAUUCCGGAGAGGGAGCCUUAGAAACGGCUACCACAUCCAAGGAAGGCAGCAGG